UUUUAUUAUUUUAUCGAUUUGUGUCAAAUUUUGAACUGACCAAAGUUGGGACCGGCAAAAUUUAUUAAUUCAUUAUUAAUUUAUCGAUUAUUAAUUUAUAGAAGUUCUACUGUAAUAUGAAUAAUAAGUGAACAGAAAAAUAAGAUAUUCUAUUAUAUUCUAUUUUACAUGCAUCUUGUAUUAUAUUUACAUAUGCCGAUAAAUAAUUUGAGUGAAUGCAAAAUAUUAUAUUAGGAUGUAACUACUGAAAUUCAAAUUGUAAUUUGCAACAAAAUAGAACACACUUUUUCAAUCAUCAAAUAAAAUGGAUCAAAAAAUAGUAUCGAACAAAUUAAUAAAAUUAUGAAGUGUUUACAAUUACUAUAUAUACUAUAUGUAUGUAAUUAGAAAAUAAAAUAGUAUCUAAAUUUACAGUCAUAAAACUAUUUUCUCUUCCAUUGUAACACUACACAUCAAAUUUAAAAACUUGUAACCCAAACUUGUAUUCUCUGAUGAUAAAUAAUAUUUGAUACAAAUGCUUAAAUGAUCAAAUAAUAUGACUUUGUUUCAUUAAAAAUUACAAAUGUUCAUACACAUAAAACAUAUAGUACGUCAAAUUACAAACUGUAUUCUUAAACAUAGUAAAACACUUUUUCUUAAUCAGCAAAUGGAAUAGAACAAAUAAAUACUAUUACCUAGUAAAAUUAGAAAUUAGUCUAAAAUUACUAUACUAUGAAUAUUUGAAAGUAACAAAUAGAAUAUACCUAAAAUCUAUAGUCAUAAGUUAUUAUCCCUUCCAUUGCGAAAUUACCCACCACCUUCACACUGGUACCUCCAAACUUGUAUCCUCUAGUCAGAUGCACAAUCUUUCACAAUGUCAGGUUGGAUCGCUUGAAAGACGUGCAAAGACAUGCAUGAGUAUAAAAUAUGGAAUGUUAUACCCAAGGAAAAUAAAGUAGAAAUACAUAAUCUAUGUGGAAUGUCUUUUGGCUUAGCUUUACUUACUUUUUUCCCUCAAAUGGAAGAAAUAAUGGCGGCAGAACAUCAUGUGUAUCUAGCAGUGGUUGAAAAGAAAUUCCGUAGUUGUACAAUUGCUGGAAGAGAAGAAGAGAUGAGAAGAAAUGAAAAAAGUGGUUUGCAACGGUGGAAGAAAAGACGGGCUGCAAAGAGUAAAAUAAUUAGUGGAGAUAGUUUGAUCAUACAGACGAAGGUGAUUAUAGCGUAAUGAUCGGAGGUGAAAUUGAUGAAAUAAUGAAGUAAAAGAACUGAUGUCUUUGUGGCUUCACCUUUCCAUCACCUAAUCUAUUAUUAUAAAAGAGUGUUUUGCUCUCUCCUGGUGAAGCCACGUCACUAAGUCGAUGGCUGUGAACGCGACACCUGUCAUCUUCAUAAAACGUACAGUUUCAUUUAAGUUAGGAUACAGUUAAUUUGGGCUUUCGUGUGGACUUAUGCUUUAUGAAUGGUAUCUAAUUUUGUCUGUUCACUUUGAAUUAGGGUUAGCUGUCAUCUUCUAUCUAUGCGAUGAAUGAGCUAGAGCAACAAUGGAGUUCAAAUCAAGUCAGCCGAAACGUCUCAUUAAUGAUACUCAUUUAACACCAAGGCGGUUUUCUUUAACUAUAAAAGGGUAAGUCUUCUACUCUUGAACAUCAUCCUAACAUUUUGUUAUUCUACAGAAAACAAAAAAAAUUCUCAAUCAUGGCUAACUCAUCGGUUCUUCUUGGUUAUUUGAAGACUGGUGACUGCUCUUACACCGUCCAUGUGCAGUUGCUCCGAUUCUGGGAAGCUGAUUCUUGUCAACCGUCAUGCCAGCCACCAUGAAUGUUCACCGGCUAGCCACUUACAGAGACCGUCUCCAGGCUGGUUCACCGGUGCAACCAGAACUUCAGGCUUUCAGACUUGCUUCUGACAGUCCGGUACAGUGAUUCAACCAAUCUAGAUGUGCAAAACGAACCAGAUUCUCACAUUCCUGAAGAACGUUUCGGUGAUCACGAUUCGCUUCUUGGCCCAGACAACACCAACACACAUCUUCUAGACGUUAUUACUGAGCUCACUGCUAUGAGAAGUACGGUGAGUGACAUUCCUCAAGUAAAAGAGCGAGUUAUGGCGACUAUGUAGAUCGACAGUCUGUUUGACUCACAAGCGAUCUCUUUUCAGAAGAAACUUGAAGGUUGUUAUUGCAAGUAGCAUAAACCCAAAGAUGGUAGGAGGUAUAUUUGUGUCUAGAGUUAAAUACACAUGCAUACUGUCACUUAUACUAAUUUUAAAGUUUAGUGCUUACGUGUGAGGAUCCUAAUAUUCUUAAAACACACAUGGAAUAUUUUUCUGCAGGACGUUUGCACACAUGUGUUUUUAGACAAGGAAACUGAUGCAGAAGCUAGACAUGUCUCUUUCAUUUAAAGUGAGGCACUUGCAAUUCCAUUUUUUCUGAGAAUACUUUUGCAAGAGUUUUUUUCUUGGUGCACUGUAUUAAUAGGUCUUAUAUUUGUGGUUUUAGGAUCAGUCAAAACAGAACACAUUCAGAUCUCGAUUAUUAAUCUAUAGUACAUGAAGAAGUUUCAGGUAGAUAUUUAUUUCCCUAUGUCAUCUAAUCUUAUUCAUGUUCGUAUGAAGGCUGUCUCAUGAACGGAGAUGAUGAUUGUGUCAUCCUUUAGCACGUUAAACAUGACAGAAAUGAUCUUUUGAAGAGAGAAAUAGAUGUGUAUCUGCUGCAGUUGUACGGCUACUGAGAUAGAGAGGACACAAAAGAAGAUGAAUACAAAAUAUAGAUCUGCAGUACUUUGAUGAACUAGAAGCUAGAAAUGAUGGGUAGCCUUCUCCCAAACUGGAAACAUCAACAAACUACCUUGGUCUAAAUAUAAAAAGAGUCUUAACAUCAAGUAGGGUCUAAUCAUAUUUACUAAUCUAUAAGCCCAUAUGUAGAAAAAUAAUACGAGUGUGCACAAUGAUUUGGUCUAUGUGCUACUGUAUUUAGUAUUCUUUCUAGACUACGAUUCUUCUUUAAUCUUCUUCUCUGAAUAUUCUUCUACUCAAGUCAUUAGAAAAUUACCAGUUACAGUACUACUUUGGAAAAAAUUGUUUCAGUUAACAACACUUGGUACAUCAAUUGAUAUGUUAGCUUGCACAGAGUAAGUUUACAGCAACUUGCGAACCAACCGAGUUCGUAUAUUGAAUCAAAAGAAUUUUUCGACACUACUUCCAAGGGUUUGGAUACAACAACAAUACAAUGAAUUGUAUCCUAAAGACUUGCCCAUAUCCAAGUACCGUUGGUCAAGGUUUAUAUGCUUAUCAAAGUCUGCAUAUUAUGAUUUUAAAGUAAUUAUUGUUUUGAAUCUACUUUAUAACUUUAUAUUAUAGUAAUAGACUAUAAUAGAUAAUUAAUUUCAUAAUAAUAUACUUUUAAAAAUUCCUGUUCAAAAUAGCUAUUCAGUGAAUCAGUGUUACAUGAUCCAAAAGUAUAGCUUGCAAUAUAUCUGUUGAAAAAUAUAAUAUUAUGAAAAUAAAAUAACAAUAUUUCAUAAAAAAUUUACUAAUAAAAAAUAUGGUAAAUUUUUAAGGAAAUAAUAAACUAAUUAUAUAUAUAAUAAAACCAAUGUACAAAAAUCAUAUUCAAAAGGUAAUCAAAUAAAAAUAAAACAACAACCAAUUAUACUCUAAAACUAAUAAUAAUAUUUGUUUAAUAAUCUUAAUCAGUUUGGAUGAUAUGGUUUAAUUGAAAAAGUUUUAAUAAAAUAUGUAUAUUCUUAAAUAAUCAAUUUCAGAAACAAAAUUAAAAUUUUCAUAUUAUCUACAACAGUAGGUUUAGAAAUGUAUAAAAAGAAAAAAAGGUAAAAUAAUUACAUUAAUGAAAUUCUUUUUUAUUAAUUUAUAAAAAAAAUUGUUUUUAAUAAAAAAAACAAAAACAAAUAGUAAAGAUUAACAUUAUUUUAGUUUAAAGCAAACCAAAUAUUCUUACACGUAUAUUAAAAUAUAAUCAAUGUUUAGUUAUUUUCAUUUGCUUACCCGUUAGUACGACGAGUUUAACCCUAAUAUCAUAUAAAACAAAUCAACUUCAGAGUUCUACAAUUUCCCAUGAAACACAUCAAAUUUCUUCUCCAGUUAUUAAGAAGUCUUUUAAAAGCAAUACAAAUUAAUACUAAAGGUUAACAUUUAUUUCUUAUUGGAUUCUUAAAUGUCAAAAAAAAUGGUAUGGAUAAAAAAAUUAAACAAAUAGAAACAUAUGCAAAUUUCUUAAAAAAUAUCCUUAUAAAUUUACUAUUAGGUAGGAGUACGCUGCACUAAAAUUAUAUAAAACUCAUUGAUUGCUUGGUCGAUAAGAUAUUACUAAACCGAGACUAAGAUAACAAAAUCAAAAAUAAAUUGAUCCAACAAUAUAUUCGACUACUUAAAAGCGUUACAUAUUUUAAUUCGUCAAGCCCAUACAAAGCCACAUUAACAAACGUGAUAGCCCAAUAUCUCUAACAGUCCUAUAAAAUACAGCUCACAUACGUUUGAACUUGCAUAUCUAAAGACGAAAAGUCCACUAUUUUUUUCAAAUAUCUCAUAAUGUAAAACAAUCAAUACAGCAUGAAACUAAAGAAUACCUAACAAAAAAUGCUUUUACGAUUCCGCUCAAAGGAAAAUGAUACAUAAUCCAAAUUCCGCGCGUAGCGCUGAUCGACCCUUGUUAUAUAUAAACAUGUGAAGAAGAAUAAGACACGACAUAAUAAAUACAAUUAUCUAAUAAUUAUUUUAAUAUCUAUUUUAGGAGGUUACACCGGUUGUUUAGAAGGACAAAAUGGUAAUUAUAUAUAAAAUAUGUUAUGCACUCAUUUUAUAGUUAGAUUUUGAAUUGUAAUUUUUUGUUGGUUAUACAACCAAUUUUUCGUUAAAGUUUCUAAAAGAAAGAAAAAUAAAUAGUUUUUAAAUGAUAAAAUAAAUUUUCAUUCUUCUUUAUAAAUUUAAACCAACAGCUUGGUGACAUGUAUACAAUAUGUAUCCGAAAGAUGCGUCAGUAAGAAUUUUUCUUACCAUCUCACGUGCCUUUUUAUUAUUAUUAUUUUUAAUAGCUAAUACUCCUAUUAGAUCUCCCCGUUAAACCUGUUCUAACUAAAAAUGUCCUUUAAAAAAAAAUUCAUUAAUAUUAAUUUUUAAUUAAAAUAAAAGAUAUAUUAGCAAUUUCUAUAUAGAAGGCAUCUUUAUUAUUUGUUAUUUGUGGAGGGUGGUGGAAGGUUCUUUUUAUGCUUCCCAUCAGACAAGGUUUCAUAUGGAAACUUCUCCGUCUUUAUAAGAAUAGCACAUUUCACAAAAGCUAAUCUCAGCACUCAAGAAGAAAACAAAAAAAAACCUAUGAAAAUGGGUGAUUUCGAAGGAUUUUAUCUUAGUGUUGUUAUGUCAUGGUGGCACAACCACUAGUUAUGUCAGGAGGUUAGAGGCAACGGCUGAUAUACCACUCGAUAGUGAUGUAUUUCAUGUUCCUCCUGGUUGCAAUGCACCUCAACAGGUACGUACAUAUACCUUUCCUUUAAAUAAUCAACAGUCUUUUAUGAGUUUUGUUAUGGUAUCAGUUUUUUUCUUUUUUAUACUUGUUUUAGUGUAGAAAAAAAGCUAUUUAAUGGAUGUUCUUGAAUGAUUUAGCCUUUGCUAAUUUUUUCUUCUCAUCUUUGUUAAGCAAUUGAUCUAAAUUAACAUCAGGGUCGACAUGAGAUGAUUGGGACGCUACAUAGUGAAAAAUUUAAUAAUUUCUUUUUAACAAUUUAGAGGUCUAUGUUUAUGUAUAUUACAUUUUAAAAUUUUGAAAUCUCAAAGCCAAUGUUUUAUUGGAGAACCCAUGAUCGAUCCUGAAUUAAGGUUUUUUAUCUGGAUUUUCCACAAAAAGGUGCACAUUACACAAGAAGACCUUGAAGGAAAGGCAGUGAUAGUUUCUUAGGUGACGCAAAAAGCACGAGGAUCUAACACGGUUCUUUACUGGAAAAAACAUAGCAAAAAAAUGCUAAAAUCCCAUGGCAAAUCCAAGACGUACAAGUUCUACAACUAUACGUCUGGUCACAUCCAUCAUUGCACCAUCAGUAACUUAGAGGUCCAUCAUUAUCAUUAUCAUUAUCACAAUCUUUUCUAUCGUAGUGUAUCUGACUUUUUGGUUCUCUUCUUGUAAUAUGACGCCAAGUACUACUAUAUGGUAGGUGUGGGACAAACCGAACGCAAGUUAUGGUUCCUCACUCCUCCUAAACCUGGUCCUGACAUUCCCUACACGUUCGGUCUUAUUGGUAAUUGUGUCCUGAAAACCUAUUACAACUCAAGUUCAAGUCCAUGGGAAGCUAAUAACUCCCUCUCUCUUUAAAACCAUUAAUUGUUUUCAAGACACAAUUACCAAUGAAACCAAACGUGUAGGGAACGUCAGCACCAGGUUUAGGAGGAGUGAAGAACCAGAACUUGCGUUCUGUUUGUCCCACACGUCCCAUAUAGUAGUACUUGGUGUCAUACUGCAAGAAGAGAACCACAAAGUCAGAUACAUGACAAAAGAAAAGAUUGUGAAAUGAUGAUGAUGGACCUCUAAAUUUCUAAGGGUGCAAUGAUGGAUGUGACCAGACGUAUAGUUGUAGAACUUGUACGUCUUGGAUUUGCCAUGGGCUUUUAGCAUUUUGCAGCUAUGAUCUUUCCAGUAAAGAACCGUGUUAAAUCCUCGUGCUUUUUGCGCCAUCCAAGAAACUAUCACUUCCUUCAAGGUCUCCUUGUGUAGUGUGCAACGUUUUGUGGAAAACCCAAAUCAAAAACUCUAGUUUAGAUCUGUUGUUUAACAAGGAAGAAAAUAAAAGUUUGCGUCUUUGUAAAAUUUCAAUAAGCAAAGGUUAAAUCAUUUAAGAACAUCCAAUAAAUUUAUAUGAACAAGAUUAAAAAAAAAGACAAAAGUGAUACCAUAAGUAACAAAACUCAUAAAAGAUUGUUGAUUAAUUUAUAUGAAGGAAAAGAGGUAUGCGUACCUGUUGAGGUGCAUCGCAACCAGGAGAAACACGAAAUACAUCACUAUCGAGUGGCAUAUCAACCGUUGCUUGUAACCUCCUGACGUAACUACUUGUUGUACCACCAUGAGAGAACAGCACUAAGCUGUCUAGAACCAAACACAGGAAAAGAAGAACAUAAUAUGGAUUUAACGCUUGGAAAUGGCCCAUUUUCUUGAGUGCUCAGAUUAUCUUGUGUGAAGAAAGGUCCUCUGAAGAGCUAAUCGUAUAAAGACAGAUAAGUUUCCUUAUGAAGCUGGUGCUGAUGGGAAUCAUAUCAUGCAUCUUCCACCUCCCUCCCAAAAAAGUUGAAUAAAUUGUCAUUUUUAAGAGAAAAUUGCUAAUAUAUACAAAAUAGCUAUUAAAUAUUUUAAAAAGACCAAUUUUUAUUUUGAUUGCUUCUGCUCUUUAAAAUGUCAGGACGGGCAUGAUAUGCAUGUGUUGUCUUGAGCAACGGAAUAUGAAUGUUGUUAUAUUUCCUUAACAUCCACGCUUUGCAUGGGGUGAGACGGGUGUGAAAAUUAUAUGUUCAAA